rnacentral:rRNA from 1 species
ACUCAAAUGAAUUGACGGGGACUUGCACAAGCGGUGGAUUAUGUGGUUUAAUUCGUAGGUAAACGAAGAACCUUACCAAGGUUUGACACCUAACUGAAAGCUCUAAGAAACUAGAGCCCUCGCAAGACAGUUAGGCAGGUGAUGCAUGGCCGUCGUCAGUUCGUGGUUUGAAUUGUUCCCUUCAGUGGGGUAACGAACGCAACCCUCGUCGUGUGUUAUAAGUGUCACACGAGACUGCCCAGCCUAAAGCUCAGAAAUACUAUAAAAAGUAUUUGUGAUUUCUAGGCUGGGAGGAAGGCGAGGAUGACGCCAGGUCCGCAUGUCCCUUUGACAUCUUGGGCUACACACAUAAUACAAUGGUCGGUACAACGCGACGCAAUGGGGCGACCCGGAGCAAACCGUUUAAAACCGGCCUCAGUUCGGAUUGAAGUCUGCAACUCGACUUCAUGAAGCUGGAAUCGCUAGUAAUCGCGGGUCAGACAUACCGCGGUGAAUACGUUCUCAAGUCUUGUACACACCGCCCGU